GAAGCUGGCGGAGCAGGAGGAUGGGCGAGCAGUCUGAAUGCCAGAAUGGAUAACCGUUUUGCUACAGCAUUUGUAAUUGCUUGUGUGCUUAGCCUCAUUUCCACCAUCUACAUGGCAGCCUCCAUUGGCACAGACUUCUGGUAUGAAUAUCGAAGUCCAGUUCAAGAAAAUUCCAGUGAUUUGAAUAAAAGCAUCUGGGAUGAAUUCAUUAGUGAUGAGGCAGAUGAAAAGACUUAUAAUGAUGCACUUUUUCGAUACAAUGGCACAGUGGGAUUGUGGAGACGGUGUAUCACCAUACCCAAAAACAUGCAUUGGUAUAGCCCACCAGAAAGGACAGAGUCAUUUGAUGUGGUCACAAAAUGUGUGAGUUUCACACUAACUGAGCAGUUCAUGGAGAAAUUUGUUGAUCCCGGAAACCACAAUAGCGGGAUUGAUCUCCUUAGGACCUGUGAGUACUUUGAUUUCACCAGGACAGUUGGGGGAACAAAGAUAAUUUUAUUUGUCUCUUUUUGGACUAUGUUUUUGGAAUAAGAUGAGUUAGUAGAUUGUGCCAACGUGAAAUAAAAUCUCUAACAGUAUCCAGUGAACUCUAUUCUGU
rnacentral:sRNA from 1 species